GACGAACCGUGCGAACGUUGUUCGGAUUCACUGGGCUUAAAGGGCGCGUAGGCGGGCUGUCAAGUCUGUGGUGAAAGCCUCCGGCUCAACCGGAGAAGUGCCGCGGAUACUGGCGGUCUUGAGGGGUGUAGGGGCAUGCGGAACUUCCGGUGGAGCGGUGAAAUGCGUAGAUAUCGGAAGGAACGCCGGUGGCGAAAGCGGCGUGCUGGACACCUACUGACGCUGAGGCGCGAAAGCCAGGGGAGCAAACGGG
rnacentral:rRNA from 1 species